GGUUCCUUUUCUUUUCUCUCCAGAACACUCUCCCUCUCUUUUCUCCUUCGCCGCCGGCGUAAGCUCUUUCCUUCUUCUUUUUUGUUUUCUUCCCUCUCUCUUCCUCACCUUUCUCCGUAACCGUCUGCAGCUUUCUCCAUCGGCGUCUUCUUAUCUCCUUCUCUUCUCCCUAUCUUUCUUUGUUAUUUUCUUCUAUCUUCCUUUGUUGGUUCUUCUACCUCCUGGCCCCCCUUCAAAAACCUUCUCCAAUGGAAAAUCUGCCGUUCAUCCUUGCUGCCGACUACCCAAAACCCCACCUUCUUGCCGGCCUUUUCAUAAUCGGAUCUCUGUCUUUCUCCUUUAGCCGGCCAUACCACCUUCACACCCUCCAAAUUCAUCACAAAUCCGAACCCACAUUCGUGGGUCAUUGCCAAGUUCUUAAUUUUCUUUUUUUUUGUAUUAUUUUUGUAUUUUGUGUUUGAGUGCUUGGUCUGCUACUGUGGUUGUGCAUCGAGUCUGCGUUUGGAAAUGGGUUUUGAUAUGAGGGCUGAUAUUCACUUUAGUCUUUGAAUGGUUGAAAACUUUGCUACUUAAAUUAUUUGCUCGGCUUUUGUUUGCUCAUCUCUGCAUCGUCUACUGUUAUUGUCUACAUCUUCCAACACUCUCUAUUAGUGUCACUUAGCACAGAAGAAUGACAAAACAAAUUGAGAAAGGCAAGGCAAAAUUGUUUAAUGCCAAAAGAAGGAAGCAUUCCAAAGCACACUGAUGAUUCAUUUUCAUUUGUGGUUUAUGCAAAAAUGAUGGUAUGAAUUAAUCUUACUUCGCAUUUAUAUGUAUGGUUUUUCUUCAAACUAAAUUUAAAUUGUAUGUUUAGUAAUUUGACUUUGGUUUUUCAUUACAUGUUAUUUAUAUAUAUCGAUUAUGAUUGAGCAUAUAUAGUUGUAAAUAAAUGCAGGCAAUUGAGAUGAAACGAGAUAUUAGUUUUUUGGAAGUGUUCAACCGCACUCAUAAGCGCUCAAGGGGCCAUGGUAUUUUAUAAAUAAUAAGUCCAAGUCUACGAGUGUACGUAUAAAAUUGAUUUAUUUUUACUUUAAAGUUGACAACUUAGCUGAAUAAUAAUUUUGAUUAAUUUUUUAUGUAAGAAAUGUAUAAUUUUGUACUAUCACAGAGUAUGGUGAGGAUUUAUAUUCUCAGUCAGAAUUAGAUCCGCAUGCUUGGACUGAAGCAAUUGGAGUGAUGGAAACUACACUGUCAAACCCUAUUCUAUAAAAUA